UUAUGAAUUAAAAAAUUUUAAGGUGAGUGCUUUUGGGGUCCCACCAAUGAAAUCUCUGCCUACCCCAAGGUUAUGAAAAUAUUCUUCAAUUUUUUUCUUCUAGAAGCUUUAUAGUUUCAGCGUUCACAUUUAGGCCCAAGAUCGACCUUGAAUUAGUUUGGGGUAUGGUGUUAGGGAGGGUGUGUUAAGGUUAAUUUUUCCCCUUAUUGUUCUGGCACCAUUAAUUGAAAAAAAUAACAACUUUUACCCUUUGAAUUACAUUGAUGCCCUUGUCAUAAAACACUUAACUGCGUGUGUGGGUCUGUUUCUGCAGUCUCUGCUGUUCCACCGAUCUAUAUCUAUGCUUGUGCCGGUACUACACUGCCUUAAUUACUGUAGUUAGUCUUAGAAUCAAGGAGUGUAAGUCUUCCAACUUUGUUCUUCAAGGUGGGUUAUUUGAGGUCAUUUGCUUUUCCAUAUAACUUUUAUUAUCACCCUGUCUGUUUCUACAAACAAAACCCCAAAACAACUGCUGUGAUUUUGCUUGGAGUGGUGUUGAAUUUCUAGAUCAGUUUAGGGAGAAUUGACAACUUAAUACCCAUAAACAGGGGAUAUCGCUCAAUUUAUUUCCAACUUAAUUUGCUCAGCAUUGUUUUGUAAUUCUGAGAGUAGAAGACUUGUACAUCCUUUGUUAAAUAUAUUCCUAGGUCGGAUGUGUGGUUUUUUCCCACACCACCAAGCAGCUAACUGAAUUAUGACCGUCUCUACCUGGAGGUAAUAUCAGAUCCCACAAGUUAAGGGCUCAGUCCAACAGGACUGCCCCUCUCCCCACACUUCAGACACCAGUCUCAAGUCCAGGCUGCCACCAGUGAUUCUGACUGACUGGCUAUAGAUCUGCAGGUUCCCACAGCCUCUGCCUUGGGUUUGACCUGUUUGCUAGAGCAGUUCACAGAACUCAGAGAAACAUCUUACUUACUGGAUCACUGGUUCAUGAUAAAAGAAUAAGGCUCAGGAACAGCAGGGGGAAGUUGCUUAGGAAAAGUAUGGGGAAAGGGCCCGGAGCUUCCAAGGCCUCUCUAAACACUGCUCUCUUCUCACAUCUCCACGUGUUCACCAACCUGGAAGCUCUCUGAAUCUUUCCAGCCCUGGAGUCCCUCACUCCCGGGAAUGGAGAGCAAACCAACCUUGUGUUUUGGGCAUAAACUUGGUCAUGACACAGAGCUCUUUCAGUAAAUUGCUGUACUGGGCUUCCUAAUGUUUUGUUAAGCAUUUCUGUGUCUGCUUAUGAGAGACACUGGCCUGUAAGCUUCUUGUCUUAUGAUGUCUUUCUCAGGUUUUUGUGUCGAGGCUUUGCUGGCUUCAUGACACAGGCUGGAAAAGGUUUGCUCUUUGUCAUUCUACAGACUUCUGAGGUUGGUAUAGGCUUCUUUAAGGAUUUGGUAGGGUUGACCAGUGAAUCAGCUGGGUCUGGUGUUUUCUCUGUGACAGGGUUUUUUUCUGUUUUUUCUAAGUUUCAUAACUUUGUGUUUAUAAGGGAAUUUGUCCAUUUCAUCUCAGUUGCAGAACUUGUUGGCAUAGAGUUGGUCAUAGUGGAAGUAACGGUACUUUUCACAUCUGUAGGAUCUAUAGUGUGACCUUGUUCUUUCAUCCCUGAUGUGGGGAACUAGGCAUCUUCAUCCAGCUGGCCCCUUUCUCUGGGCGUCUUGGGAACUGUCCUCUUCUGCAUCUCGGGGCUCCGCACUUCACCCAGGAAAGACACAGGCACUCACUGUGGCCGGAGACUUUGGGAUCCUGAGGAGGGUGGUUCUGAACAAACCUGGGGGCAGAAGUAGGGUCUGAGCAGACCACGUCGGCACGGUUUAGGGGAGCUUGCUCUUAUUCCCAGGACUUGGUGAAGAAUAAUGAAGCUCUGGUGGAAGAAUUUGAUUUGGGGGAAAGUGCCCGAGAACGUUCAUGUGUGCACUGCUGCGGGCAUGGGCCAGCCUGCUCCUGUCUCCUGGGGAAGCACACAGGGUGGGGUUUAGCCCCCAACUGUCCAAUCACUUGUCUGCGGCUAAGCUGCUGGGUUUCAGCCAUAAAUGAUGGUCUCGCCACCAUUUGGUGACAGCCUGUGGCUUGCUCUCUGGAAUGUCAGGGUCCAUGUGUAUGGGGGUGGGGGACCCAGGGCACUUACAGUGAUACUGGCCCCCACCUGACCCCCAAAUUCCCCUUCCAUUAUGGAGCGUGCAUGGGCUUGUGUCACUGGUUUUCCUGAAUCUCCCUUGGUGCACUGAGAAGGUUCAGGGCUCUUGGGGUCAGGUGGGGGCUUCAGGGCUGCAGCUCUCACUUUCUUUGUCUCACAGAUCAGCCCUCAGCACCUGCCUUUCCCCAGAGGGGCCCACACGUCUCCCCAAAGGCCUCUGCUGUUCCCACGGAUGUGUCCCCGGUGAGCACCACCUCCCUGGGCCCUGCAGGCUGACCAGGACCCCAGCCCCCAGCCCACCCGUGGGAGUGGUCCACCAUGGGGGCUCCAGAGGUCUGUGCCUGCCUGCCUGCCUGCCAGCUCUGUCUUACGGAGUGGGGGGAGAUGUGAUUCAGUUACAUUAAGACCAUAGUGGGUGUUACAGAAAACAUGGAAAUGCACUUGCUUCUCUAGGUGCUUAGUCUGCUGAAGCUGCCGUAACUCAGCACACACGCAUUUAUUGGUUGAUUUCUCACAGUCUGGAGGCUGGAAGUCCCAGAUCAGGGUGCUGGCAUGGUUGGUUCUGGUGAGGGCCCGCUUCCUGGCUUGUAGAAGGAGAGAGAGAGGAAGAGGGUGCAAGAGUGCUCUGGUGUCUCUUCUUACGAGGACCCUAGUCCUAUCGGAUCAGGGCCCCACCCGAUGACCUUUUUUAACCUUAAAUACUUCCCUAGAGGCCCCACCUUCAAAUGCAGCCGUACUAGGAGUUAGGGCUUCCGCAGAUGAAUCUGAGGGACACAGACAUUCAGUCCAUGACAGGAGCCUUCCCUUGAGCCUCAGCUUCAGGCCUCUUGAGGUUUCUUCUCCUUUGAGACCCCCUGGCCCCCCGCCUUUUCUUCCAGACACGUGCAUUUCAGCUUCUCUCCAUUUACUGUCCUGCAGCCUCAGGAGCGGCCAUGUCUGACGUCCUGCUCCUGGCGGGAGCUGUUUGUGUUGCAGGUGGCCAUGCACUCCUCAAGGGAAGAGUGGUGGCGGUGUGCGGACCCUGGCCAGAGGGUGCUGGGCCGGGGUGUGAUGCCGGCAGUUUCAGGGGCUCGGCUGAAUUCAGCCUGCAGAGCCCAUCCAGUCCCUCGAUGGCGCCAGGGCCUCGAGUUCAGGCUAAGGGGGUGUGGGAGCUCGAGCUCUUGUCCUGUGUCUGUGGAGGGGCCGUCCUGCACCAAGUCUGGCCAAGGGCAUUCUUCGUGCUGCCCUGGAGGCAGCCCACUCUUCCUUCCUCAGCCCCGUCCACUGUUAGACCUGGCCCCGCCGCCAAGGAGGGUGGGGAGAGCCUGUCACGGUUUGGCCCUGGCUCCCUCCUCCCUGUCUGUCCUCUCUGCUUUGGGGUGGCUUCCUGGACGUUGCCCCAAGGGCUGGCCUGCAGCCUCGCUUUGUCUUCUAUACAGAAAACCACACCUUUUCUCUCCUUGGAGGAUUUCGAGGCCCCAUACCUGGCCGCAUCUCUCGCCUGGAACACUGGGGUGAGCCGCGGGUUGUGGGGAGGGAGAGACCCGCAUUUCAGGAAGUGCGGAGGGGUCCCCAGGGUCUCCCUCUGCUCCCAGGGGAGAUCAGCGCCCAGCACCCACCGAUGACGUUCUCCCCUCCCACUGGGACCGUGGGCAGGAGAUGCUGUCUGACCGGACCCUGGAAACCCAGGCUGGCGCCCCGCCCCUGCACGGAGCGCUGCUCUGCUGCGUGCCGAGCCGGCGGGCGCCGUGGGUGUGCACGGCGGGGGGCCUGAGAGGGUGUGGGUGCUCCAACCUCGCGGCCGCCCCAGCAGGCGCACGCCCGGCAUGAGGUCUCGGGCCUGACAGCCCUGCUCUGAGGGGCUUCGUGUGUGGCCGCGGGCAGAUUCCCUCAGAAGUGAGAUCGAGCAGACGUGUGGGAAUGAGACCAGCCGGGCAGACACUGGGCUGUGUGGAGCCCCAAGACAGAGAGGGUCUCGGGUGCCAGGUUGGAGGGAAGCCGAGGGUGAGUGGUUCAGAAGGAUGUGGGUCCCUGUCCCCGGCACCCUCCCCCAACCCAGGAGCGGGGGGCUGGUUAGGGGAACCGAGAGCACAGUCUCUAUCCUGACUGGUGUCUUUGUUCCUGUGUAAACACAAGUAUGUAAGGUGCUACCCGGCUCUUUAGGUGACCGCCCAGCGUUACAGCCCUCCCUCCUACGGGUGACACCAGCGUUGACCUAACUGGCCUCAUCCGGGUGAGCGUUUGAGUUCAUUUUCAGCUUUCCACCAUUUAUAGUUUCAGCUCGUCUGUGUGCUCCUUUCUCACUGCUGGGCCACUUUCUUGGAGUGAAUCCUUAAUUAGGUGGGAGUGAGCUGAUAAGACAGUUGUGUGGAUUUUCUCCUGUCUCGCUGCCAGCCUGUGUAAGUGCCUGUUUCCUCCACCGGGCAAGGGAGGCCCUUUACCAGUGGAGACACUGUAAUCGCUUCUGGCAGCCCUCGAGCCAGGGGUGGGGUGGGCAGUGGCUUUGCCUUUGAGCAUUUCCAGUGUGGCCGGACCUUCAGGCGGGUCCCGGACCUUCUGCGACACCAGAGGAACUACAGAAAAGAGCAGCCCUUCGGCUGCGAGGUGUGCGGACAGGCCUUCAGCCUGAGAGGCCGCCUGGGCCCGCAUCGCCAGGUCUGCUUGGAGCGCGAGCCUCACCGCGUGGCGACGGCGGGAAGGCCUCCCUGUGCGGCAAGGCUCUGCGGGCCCGAGGGCCUCAGCACCCGCCGGAGCCGCUGCGGGAAGGGCGUCCACCAUCUGGGCUUCCUGACGAGGCAUCAGGGGACCCACAGGCGCGGGGAAGUGGAGGUGUGCGUGGGGGUCCUCUGGCCAUGUUCACAUCGGGGAGACUUGCGGGGAGAGGCGACUCUUUGUUCCAGACUCCAGGCGUCUUUGCUUGCCCAGCCCCGAAGUAAAAACCUGCAGAGUGGGCUUCUCUAGGGCACCGGCUCGCACUUGGAGACUUGGUCACUGGGCAGGACACCUGUCCCUCUUGCUCGUGGGAACGCUAUUUCAGGUUAUCCAAAGGCUUGGUGAAGGAUUUUAAUUUUUGUCUGAAUUCCAGAGAGAAAAACAUGGGGGGCCGUGAGGAGCUAGCAGAGCCCCAGAGGCAUUGCACUGAGGGACCACCUGACCCCGAUUUGAGCAAACCAGUUGUAAAAAGGCUUUUUUGAGACAAUCCUGGAAAUUUGAACAUGGAUUGGGUAUUAGGUGGUAUUAAGGAGUUUGCUGUGAUAAUGACAGUGUGGUUCUGUUUUUAAAAGUCCUUAAGAAGGAUGCAUUCUGACAAAUUUAUGGGUGAAAUGGCAUAAUGUAUGGGAUUUGCUUUAAAAUUCUAAUAAAAAGAAGAAAGACAAAACAGUAUUGGCAAAAUGAGUUGUUGAAGCUAAGUGAUGAGUAUGUUUGGAACUUCCCUACAUUUUUUUUCUCAUUUUACGGGAUAUUUAUAUUCUAAGUUCAUUAAUACAUACUGAAAAUAGCCAUUAAGUUAUCAAGUUACGAAGCUGUGUCAGUCUGCUCGGGCUGCCAUAGCAACACACCACAGACCAGGAGGCUGACACAGUGGAAGUUUAUUUCUCACAGUUCUGGAGGCUGGAAGUCGGAGAUCAGGUGGCCGGUUCUGACAAGGACCCACCUCCCGGCUUGCAGACGGCGCCUCCGCACUGUGUGCUCACGUUGGGAAGGGAGAGCGCGCGCUGGUGUCUCUUCCUUUUAUAAGGGCUCUAAUCCCAUGACGGGGCCCCACCCGACAACCUCAUCUCACCUCAUCACCUCCCAGAGGCCCCACCUCUAAACGGGACCACACUGGGGUUAGGGUUUCAACACGGGAUUCGGGACAGGGGAUACAAUUCAGUUUAUAGCAGAAGCUUCUCUGGGUCAGUCCUGCCCACAGCCCAGCUGGGGAAGGGCCUUGCUGCUUCAGGGUGGCCCCAUCAUGGCCAGUGAGGCCUUAAGGGCGCGGGGCCCAUGGCCCUCUGGAAUAGAUAGAAAUGUGCCCUUUGGAACAUCCGAGUGGCUUUUCUUAUUUAUAAAAUCCAAACUUUUGUGCCAGUGCUUAUAUUUUCCUUCCAGCUCAGAGCUGUGGGCAGGGAAGUGCCUGGUUUGCUCCCACCCCACGUGUGGAGUGGUGGAGGCCUUCAGGUGGCCUUGGAGUGCAAGCCGGGAUGGCCUGUCUUGGGUCUUUGGGCUCGUCCUGCAGCCCAGCUGGCCGUGCGUCCAGGUCGCCUGUUUCUGGCUUUUCCUCCUUUGUGAUGCUUCACCUCGUGCCGCCAUCGUGUGGAAUUAAGUGUGGACAACACAGAACUGUGCCAUUAGCUACGCUCCAUCUGAUGACGAUUAUCGAGUGAUACCAGUGGCUGCCCAACAGGGGGCACGUCCGGCUCCCCUGGCUGGCUGGCUUGUCCCAGCCUGCAGUUUCCUCUGUGCCCGGCUGGGCAGGCCCUGCUGGCGAACGCUUUGAGGGAGUGGCAGCGGGCAGACGGCAGGGACGCAGCUGCCUCCUUGUGUCCUGUGCACGGCUCCCUGCGAACCCUCUGCUGGAUGCGGCACCCUGGGGGGAGAAGCGUGGUGGUGAAGGCGCAGUAAGCGUCGUGACACGUGUCCCCCGGGAGGCCACCUCCUGAGCUGAUGUCUGCAUGCACGGGCUGUAUCGGUCUCCUGGGACGGCCGUGACAAAGUGCCACAAUCUGGGUGGCUGAAGACAACAGAACUUACUGUCUCAGCUCUACAGGCCAGAGUGUGAGGUCAAGGCACCAGCCGGGCCGUGCUGCCUCUGAAGCCUCCCUCUCUCCAGCUUCUCAUGGCGCCGGCCAUCCUUGGCACCCCUUGGCUUGGGGCCACAGGGCUCCAGCCUCGGCUCUGCUGACACAGGUGUGGUCCUCUGUGUCUCUGUCUUCUUUUUUUUUUUUUUUAAUAAUUAA